AUUGAACGCUGGCGGCAGGCCUAACACAUCCAAGUCGAGCGGAUGAAGGGAGCUUGCUCCUGGAUUCAGCGGCGGACGGGUGAGUAAUGCCUAGGAAUCUGCCUGGUAGUGGGGGAUAACGUCCGGAAACGGGCGCUAAUACCGCAUACGUCCUGAGGGAGAAAGUGGGGGAUCUUCGGACCUCACGCUAUCAGAUGAGCCUAGGUCGGAUUAGCUAGUUGGUGGGGUAAAGGCCUACCAAGGCGACGAUCCGUAACUGGUCUGAGAGGAUGAUCAGUCACACUGGAACUGAGACGCGGUCCAGACUCCUACGGGAGGCAGCAGUGGGGAAUAUUGGACAAUGGGCGAAAGCCUGAUCCAGCCAUGCCGCGUGUGUGAAGAAGGUCUUCGGAUUGUAAAGCACUUUAAGUUGGGAGGAAGGGCAGUAAGUUAAUACCUUGCUGUUUUGACGUUACCAACAGAAUAAGCACCGGCUAACUUCGUG
rnacentral:rRNA from 1 species